AAUUUUCUAAAAUUUUAAUUUAUUUUUUUUAUUUCUUUUUUUUGUUUUUGUAAAUUUUAUUAAAUCUUAGAUUUUUAUUUAUUUUUGGAUUUUUAUUUAUUUAUUUUGUUUAUUUUAUUAAUUAAAUAAUUAUUUUUGAAAAUUACCUGCUGAACCGGUCAAUUUUUUGAUUUGGUGGUUUUUUAUGAUACAAAUGUCACUUUGAAGGUUAAAAGUGUUAGUGAAAAAACUUGAAGGUUUAAAGUGCUAGUAAGUAACACUUUUAGGGUUUUUUAUGCGACUUUCUCAAAAAAAAAGUGAAAGAAUAAACGAGACGACAUGCCGUUUUGUUUUUACGAUACUUCCAUGCUUGUCGUAUGUAUGCACACUGCUCGGCAGCCGGUGCUUUAUAAAAAAAUAACGAAACGGCGAGCUGUUUUAAUUUCGGUUAAUAUCGUUACUUAACUGAAACACCCUUCGUUGCCGUCAACGCUUGCUCCUCCGGCUCGUCGAGAAGAUGAUGCGCUCCUCUUUUGUAACUCUACUCUUCUGCCUCGUGUUUCUUUCUGAUCUCUUACGGAUCCGUCGAAGCAGGGAAGCGACGGAUCGAGAUCACCGACGAUCUGGACGACAGCGAAGAAGACGAAUCAUGGAAACAGUGGGGGGAGUAAAGCAGCGACGCCGGAGUUCGAUCCGCCUCCGGAUUUCUCAAACAUGGGAUUCGAUCAGAUCCAAGAGGAGAUGGCGAAACGGACUUUCGCACCGGUCGUCGGAUUCGUCAAGCUCCGGUUAGGCGUUCACCGUACUAAGGUGGAUUAGGAGUGAGGUUUCAUGGCUGUGGAUCGGAGCACGGUGAUGUUCAAUAUGCAGCAGAACGGGAAGGAAGUUAUUGAGGUAAGGGAGUUUGUGCUGAGACAAUAAGAGGCUUAUGAGGUUAGGAUAGGGAAACAAGAGUUUCGAAGACCUGGAGAUCCUCCUCUUGAUGAUGUCGUUGAUAUACUUCAAGCAAAGCAAAGCAAGGACGAUGAAGAUGGUAAUGGUAAUAGCAAGAAUAAUGUUUGUUACUAAGGAUGACUUAUAGGUCUCGUAUACACUUUUGAAGCUUUUAAAAUUUGGUAACCAAGUUUCUGCAUUAGAGAGACUGAAAGCUCAGCUCAUUAGCUGAAUCUUAGCUACAAUUUCUCUGUCUUGUUGGUGGUUUCGUACAAUACAAUAGAAAGUAUGCUCACUAUCA